CCUACGGGUGGCAGCAGUGGGGAAUAUUGGGCAAUGGGCGCAAGCCUGACCCAGCAAUGCCGCGUGGGUGAAGAAGGUCCUCGGAUUGUAAAGCCCUUUCGGCGGGGACGAUGGUGACGGUACCCGCAGAAGAAGCCCCGGCUAACUUCGUGCCAGCAGCCGCGGUAAUACGAAGGGGGCUAGCGUUGCUCGGAAUCACUGGGCGUAAAGGGCGCGUAGGCGGCCGCGCGCGGUCGGGCGUGAAAUCCCCGGGCUCAACCCGGGGGCUGCGCCCGAGACGGCGGGGCUGGAGGACGGGAGAGGGCCGCGGAAUUCCCAGUGUAGAGGUGAAAUUCGUAGAUAUUGGGAAGAACACCGGUGGCGAAGGCGGCGGCCUGGCCCGGACCUGACGCUGAGGCGCGACAGCGUGGGGAGCAAACAGGAUUAGAUACCCCUGUAGU
rnacentral:rRNA from 1 species